rnacentral:rRNA from 1 species
GAUGAACGCUAGCGGCAGGCUUAAUACAUGCAAGUCGAGGGGCAGCGCAGUGUAGCAAUACAUGGGCGGCGACCGGCAAACGGGUGCGGAACACGUACGCAACCUUCCUUUAACUGGGAGAUAGCCCACCGAAAGGUGGAUUAAUAUCCCAUAGUAUAUUUGAAUGGCAUCAUUUAGAUAUUAAAGCUCCGGCGGUUAAAGAUGGGCGUGCGUCUGAUUAGGUAGUUGGCGGGGUAACGGCCCACCAAGCCCACGAUCAGUAGCUGAUGUGAGAGCAUGAUCGGCCACACGGGCACUGAGACACGGGCCCGACUCCUACGGGAGGCAGGAGUAAGGAAUAUUGGUCAAUGGACGCAAGUCUGAACCAGCCAUGCCGCGUGGAGGAUGAAGGCCCUCUGGGUUGUAAACUUCUUUUCUUUGGGACGAAACCCCUGUUUCUACGGGGACUGACGGUACCAGAGGAAUAAGCACCGGCUAACUCCGUGCCAGCCGCCGCAGUAACAC